rnacentral:rRNA from 1 species
GUGCCAGCCGCCGCGGUAAUACGUAGGUGGCAAGCGUUGUCCGGAUUUAUUGGGCGUAAAGCGAGCGCAGGCGGUUUCUUAAGUCUGAUGUGAAAGCCCCCGGCUCAACCGGGGAGGGUCAUUGGAAACUGGGAGACUUGAGUGCAGAAGAGGAGAGUGGAAUUCCAUGUGUAGCGGUGAAAUGCGUAGAUAUAUGGAGGAACACCAGUGGCGAAGGCGGCUCUCUGGUCUGUAACUGACGCUGAGGCUCGAAAGCGUGGGGAGCGAACAGGAUUAGAUACCCUGGUAGUCCACGCCGUAAACGAUGAGUGCUAAGUGUUGGAGGGUUUCCGCCCUUCAGUGCUGCAGCAAACGCAUUAAGCACUCCGCCUGGGGAGUACGACCGCAAGGUUGAAACUCAAAGGAAUUGACGGGGGCCCGCACAAGCGGUGGAGCAUGUGGUUUAAUUCGAAGCAACGCGAAGAACCUUACCAGGUCUUGACAUCCUUUGACCACUCUAGAGAUAGAGCUUCCCCUUCGGGGGCAAAGUGACAGGUGGUGCAUGGUUGUCGUCAGCUCGUGUCGUGAGAUGUUGGGUUAAGUCCCGCAACGAGCGCAACCCUUAUUGUUAGUUGCCAUCAUUUAGUUGGGCACUCUAGCGAGACUGCCGGUGACAAACCGGAGGAAGGUGGGGAUGACGUCAAAUCAUCAUGCCCCUUAUGACCUGGGCUACACACGUGCUACAAUGGGGAGUAC